AUGGGGCAUGGGCGAAAGUCUGACGCAGCCAUGCCGCGUGCAGGAUGAAGGCCCUAUGGGUUGUAAACUGCUUUUGUACGGGAAGAAACCCUUCUACGUGUAAGAAGCUGAAGGUACCGUAAGAAUAAGCACCGGCUAACUCCGUGCCAGCAGCCGCGGUAAUACGAUACGA
rnacentral:rRNA from 1 species